GUGCCUUCCAAGAUCCGAAUUCGAGAAUCAGCAGAAGUAACCAGCACUUCAGUAGGGCUACCUGGAACAAACUGUUAAGAGUCAGAUGUUCUCAAAUGAUUGAUGCGUAUUUGGUAAAAGAGGCAGAAUGUUACGAAACAAAACCAAAGAUUUGAUGCAAAUGGAGAAUGAGACACCAACCUGGCCAUCAGGCGUAUAGCAAGCGGCGGUGACCAUUUCAUGAAGAUCAGUCCAAUCGACGACAUAUCGAUCAGAAAGAGGAAGAAAAGUGGAAGAGAGGAAAUCAAGGGUUCGUUUACCGUUAUAAUUUUAUUUGGAGAAUAGCGAAACGGUCAACGGUCAACGGUAUUUAUUACAUCUCUGCACGUCUGGUGCUUACU